ACUCAAAUGAAUUGACGGGGACCCGCACAAGCGGUGGAACAUGUGGUUUAAUUCGAGGCAACGCGAAGAACCUUACCAGGAUUCGACAUGUCCUCUAUGGGCUCUUGAAAGAGAGUCCUUCACUUCGGGUGGGAGGAACACAGGUGCUGCAUGGCUGUCGUCAGCUCGUGUCGUGAGAUGUUGGGUUAAGUCCCGCAACGAGCGCAACCCUCGUCUCCUGUUGCCAUCAGGUCAAGCUGGGCACUCUGGAGAAACUGCCGGUGAUAAGCCGGAGGAAGGUGGGGAUGACGUCAAGUCCUCAUGGCCCUUACAUCCUGGGCUACACACGUGUUACAAUGGCGGUGACAAUGAGCAGCGAUCUCGCAAGAGCUAGCUAAUCUCAAAAAACCGCCUCAGUUUGGAUUGUACUCUGCAACUCGAGUACAUGAAAUUGGAAUCGCUAGUAAUCGCAGAUCAGCACGCUGCGGUGAAUACGUUCCCGGGUCUUGUACACACCGCCCGU
rnacentral:rRNA from 1 species